rnacentral:misc_RNA from 1 species
GGUUUCCGUAGGUGAACCUGCGGAGGAUCAUUAACACGUAUCCAACGUUAAAACAACCCCCGUGAACUUUCAGCUUGCUGUGAAAACAGCAAUCCCUGGUAAAUCAUUGUUGACCAGCUUUUGAGUCAGGGACCUCUGCCGAUUGUGAUAUUUCAUAGCUACGGUUGAGCGAUUGCAUCUAGUGACCUGGCAUCCCCAAGUAAUCAGUGUCUGAAAGUGUCAUUGAUUAUGUAAGGAUGGCUCGCUGUAGGCCCACACGGCCGGCCCCUUUACGACAACACAGUACGAAUUGGCCGCGCGUGAAAUUCGCACGGCACCAAAAACCGAACAACUGUUAACAAUGGAUAUCUUGGUUCUC